GACGAACGCUGGCGGCGUGCUUAACACAUGCAAGUCGAACGGAAAGGCUCUGCUUUUGUGGGGUGCUCAAGUGUCGAAAGGGUGAGUAACACGUGAGUAACCUGCCCUUGACUUUGGGAUAACUUCAUGAAACUGGGUCUAAUACCGGAUAGGAGCUCCUGCUUCAUGGUGGGUGUUGGAAAGUUUCGGCGGUUGGGGAUGGACUCGCGGCUUAUCAGCUUGUUGGUGGGGUAGUGGCUUACCAAGGCUUUGACGGGUAGCCGGCCUGAGAGGGUGACCGGCCACAGUGGGACUGAGAUACGGCCCAGACUCAUACGGGAGGAAGCAGUGGGGAAUAUUGCAAAAUGGGCGGAAGCCUGAUGCAGCAACGCCGCGUGCGGGAUGACGGCCUUCGGGUUGUAAACCGCUUUCGCCUGUGACGAAGCGUGAGUGACGGUAAUGGGUAAAGAAGCAACGGCUAACUACGUG
rnacentral:rRNA from 1 species